rnacentral:rRNA from 1 species
UUUGACCUCGAAUCANGUAGGAUUACCCGCUGAACUUAAGCAUAUCAAUAAG